rnacentral:rRNA from 1 species
UACGUAGGGGGCAAGCGUUGUCCGGAUUUAUUGGGCGUAAAGAGCGUGUAGGCGGCCAGACAAGUCAGCUGUGAAAGCCCCGGGCUUAACCUGGGAAUGGCGGUUGAAACUAGUCGACUAGAAUCUGGCAGAGGGGGGUGGAAUUCCACGUGUAGCAGUGAAAUGCGUAGAGAUGUGGAGGAACACCGAUGGCGAAGGCAGCUCGCUGGGACGGUACUGACGCUGAGGCGCGAAAGCGUGGGGAGCAAACAGG